AUGUUACUUGCAUCUUGCUGUAGGAGUAAAUGCAUGAACAUUAUGAUCAGCUGGAAUAUCGCUAGUUCUUAUCCAGAAGAGUACAUCAUUGCAAAACUAACGCAGUACCCCAAGAACCUGGAGUGGCCUGACAGUGCUGCUGACCUGCUGUGUGAAUGGGGAGACUCUGUGCUUAAUUCAGUGCUUCACCGGUCCUGGCUAGAUGUCACCAACAGCUGUGGAUUACAUGACACGUCCAGAAUAUGAUGAGGAAGAGUUUUAUUUCUUCAAGUUUUGUAUGUUAUAGGUAGAGAGAAACUAAAAAAAAAAAAAAGCUUUAAAUUCUCCUUAGAGACUUAUCUCAGAAUUGUUCUGUAUUUUACAGGAAGUCUAUCAGAUCCCUUUCACAGUUCUCAUCACCUUUGUUAUGCUCCUGAAACACUGCUCCAUUCCUCCCUUCCAAAUGUCUUCCUCCAUCUUCAGGUUAUUGCAGGGUGGCUACUGCAUAUUUUGUUGUGUGACUAAAUGCAGAUCCCUUCAAAGAUUAUCAAUGUUCCUCAGGCUGCUGGAAGGGACACUAAUGAGCAAUCUGUAUUUUUUUCCCUUGCCUCCUUUUUGUAAUCCUGUAUGAAGCAUGUUCACACCAUGCACCUCAUGCAGGAAUACAUUAUUUAGUACACAGAUAACUUGGUUAUCUGUGGAGCUUUGUGCUUCUUGUUCUGAGUGAGCCCCACUAUACAUCUUUCUGAGGUUUAUACUCAUGCUUGUUCCUUUAAAAUCUUCCCUGUCUAGACUCUUGACUCUUGAGCUAGACUCUGAUUGGGAACUGAAUGUAGCUAGAAUUCAGAUAAUUAGAUUUUUUACCUUUCCCCCCACCUGCUAUUUUUUUUUUUUGGGGGGGGGGAGGCAUGUUUCAGGAAAAAUGAAAGCCAAAAAUUAGAUCUAUAUUUAAGUAUUGUCACAGUAAGAAAAGUAGAAGAAAUCAUUAACCAUGGAAAAGAUCCGCACUGGCUGAAAUGUAUGGUGUUACGUGUGCUUGUACAGUCAGUACAAAACAGUGGUGCAUUGUCUUUGUUUCACGUUUGUUCGAACAGAAAAGCUGGAUUAUAAUGCUGAGAUAACAAUUGAUAUCCAAAUAAAUUGUUACUGAACCUUCA
rnacentral:lncRNA from 1 species